AUUGAACGCUAGCGGGAUGCUUUACACAUGCAAGUCGAACGCGUCGCGGACGGGUGAGUAAUCUAUCGGACCUUCCCCAAUAGCGGGGGAUAACUCCUCGAACGAGUGGCUAAUCCCGCAUACUAUUGGAUCGGCCGUUAUUGGAUUAGCUAGUUGGUGGGGUAAAGGCUCACCAAGGCAACGAUCCGUAGCUGGUUUGAGAGGACGACCAGCCACACUGGGACUGAGACACGGCCCAGACUCCUACGGGAGGCAGCAGUGGGGAAUCUUGGACAAUGGGGGAAAGCCUGAUCCAGCAAUCCCGCGUGUAUGAGAAGGCCUUCGGGUUGUAAAGUACUUUUGGCAGAGAAGCGGUAUCUGAAGAAUAAGCACCGGCUAACUACGUGCCAGCAGCCGCGGUAAUUC
rnacentral:rRNA from 1 species